rnacentral:rRNA from 1 species
UACGUAGGGUGCGAGCGUUGUCCGGAUUUACUGGGCGUAAAGAGCUCGUAGGUGGUUUGUCGCGUUGUUCGUGAAAACUCACAGCUUAACUGUGGGCGUGCGGGCGAUACGGGCAGACUGGAGUACUGCAGGGGAGACUGGAAUUCCUGGUGUAGCGGUGGAAUGCGCAGAUAUCAGGAGGAACACCGGUGGCGAAGGCGGGUCUCUGGGCAGUAACUGACGCUGAGGAGCGAAAGCGUGGGGAGCGAACAGG